ACACCGAACAGCAAUUUGUCCGCAAGUCUCCAACGCUUUUUGAUAAAUGUGCUGCUCUGAUGAGCAUCACAAGUUGUUGUGGAGCAACUGGUGUGGAAAAAAAGAGGAUACGGUAAUUUGACAUCCGACAAGUGCAUU
ensembl:ncRNA F41C6.11 ncRNA